rnacentral:rRNA from 1 species
CCCUUAGAUGUUCUGGGCCGCACGCGCGCUACACUGACGAAUGCAACGAGCUUAUAACCUUGGCCGAAAGGUCUGGGUAAUCUCCAAAUUUCGUCGUGAUGGGGAUAGAUUAUUGCAAUUAUUAAUCUUCAACGAGGAAUGCCUAGUAAGCGCAAGUCAUCAGCUUGCGUUGAUUACGUCCCUGCCCUUUGUACACACCGCCCGUCGCUCCUACCGAUUGAAUGGUCCGGUGAAGCGCUCGGACCGCGGCCUCUUGACGGUUCGCUGUUGAUUGGCUGUGGGAAGUUCGUUAAACCUUAUCAUUUAGAGGAAGGAGAAGUCGUAACA